rnacentral:misc_RNA from 1 species
GUGAAUCAUCAAAUCUUUGAACGCAAAUUGCACUCUCGUCGGAGAGUAUGUCUGUUUGAGGGCCGUUAGAACAAAAAUCGAAGCGUCGCUCUUUUUUUUUAAGGGUGAUCGAGUGGGAAUUGAGCCGUCUUUCAAAUGUUAAUUAAUGUCAAAGUGGCUUGAAAAUUAUCCUUGCGGUUCGAUUAAAGAGUAUUUAAGAUCAACUUUGAUUAAGAAUGCGUGAUGAACGUACCAU